rnacentral:rRNA from 1 species
UACGUAGGGUGCUAGCGUUGCCCGGAUUUAUUGGGCGUAAAGGGCGCGCAGGCGGCUACGCACGUCCGUUGUGAAAUCGCUCGGCUCAACUGGGCGGGGUCAGCGGAUACGGCGUAGCUGGAGCAAGCUAGGGGGCAAUGGAAUUCCCGGUGUAGUGGUGGAAUGCGUAGAUAUCGGGAGGAACACCAGUGGCGAAGGCGGUUGCCUGGAGCUUUGCUGACGCUGAGGCGCGAAAGCGUGGGGAGCGAGCCGG